rnacentral:rRNA from 1 species
AGAGUUUGAUCAUGGCUCAGGAUGAACGCUAGCGGCAGGCUUAACACAUGCAAGUCGAGGGGCAGCAUAAUGGAUAGCAAUAUCUAUGGUGGCGACCGGCGCACGGGUGCGUAACGCGUAUGCAACCUACCUUUAACAGGGGGAUAACACUGAGAAAUUGGUACUAAUACCCCAUAAUAUCAUAGAAGGCAUCUUUUAUAGGUUGAAAAUUCCGAUGGUUAGAGAUGGGCAUGCGUUGUAUUAGCUAGUUGGGUGGGGUAACGGCUCACCAAGGCGACGAUACAUAGGGGGACUGAGACGGUUAACCCCCCACACUGGUACUGAGACACGGACCAGACUCCUACGGGAGGCA